GUUGAACGCUGGCGGCAGGCCUAACACAUGCAAGUCGAGCGAGCGGCGGACGGGUGAGUAAUUUAUGGGGAUCUGCCCGAUAGAGGCGGAUAACUACUGUAAACGGUGGCUAAUACCGCAUAAUAUCGGUUCAACCCAGAGGGGAUUAGCUAGUCGGUGGGGUAAAGGCUCACCUAGGCGACGCUCCCUAGCUGGUCCGAGAGGAUGAUCGGCCACACUGGGACUGAGACACGGCCCAGACUCCUACGGGAGGCAGCAGUGGGGAAUAUUGCGCAAUGGGCGCAAGCCUGAGGCAGCCAUGCCGCGUGAAUGAAGAAGGCCUUAGGGUUGUAAAGUACUUUCAGCGGAGAGGCGUUACCCGCAGAAGAAGCACCGGCUAACUCCGUGCCAGCAGCCGCGGUAAUUC
rnacentral:rRNA from 1 species